AACUUUUGCGGCUCCGCCAUCUUUUUAUUUUUUAUAGAGGUUAGGUUUUCCAGUUUAGCCUUCUGGCCUACUCUACGUGACAAACAGGAAAUGUGAAUUAUUAUGUGGAUUAUAAUUAAUGAACAUUUUUCACAAACGGCAAAAUCGAAUUUCAAAGUGGAAAUGACAAAAACUUGAAAAGCCUUUUUAAACCUCAAAUACACAACAAGUUUAAACAUGUCCUGCAUUGCAAGUUCUCCUGCAACAGGGUGAUCAAAUAAAGAUCCUACAUAUGUAUAGGACAAGUCAACAACAUUAUUUGGGCAUGGGUUAACAGAUUAAGAGCCUGAGUGCCUUCCUUCCUCUGUCUGCUCCUUCAAGUCUUUAAGAACCCCUCUCAUUUCUUUCUCCUGACAUCAUUUCACCAUGCAGACACAUGUCGUCAGAAUGUCUAGAGGAAGGAGCUAUGUGAAAUUAAUGUUUCAUUCCACCAUCUCACUCAUUCAAUAUGUUCUACAUCAAAUUUAUUUAUAUAGCCCUUCUUACAUCAGCUGAUAUCUCAAAGUGCUGUACAGAAAACCUGCCUAAAACCACCAAAAAACAGCAAGCAAUGCAGGUGUAGAAGCACGGUGGCUAGGAAAAACUCCCCAGAAAGGCCAAAACCUAGGAAGAAACCUAGAGAGGAACCAGGCUGUGAGGGGUGGCCAGUCCUCUUCUGGCUGUGAUGGGUGGAGAUUAUAACAGAACAUGGCCAAGAUGUUGAAAUACACAAAUACAUAAAGUGUAUUUAUCGUGCAUUAUAUAUAUGAAAUGUAUUAAAACGGGAAACCAACGGAAAUUAAUCUUCAUAAAAACAUUCAGUUCUGGAUUUGUUUGGUCUUUUAUGUUUGUCCGACUCCAGGGACUUGGACUCCCAUAUACACCACAUAUUUAAACCACAAAGUCCUCAUUUAAAAAUCGAGCCUACAGACUAGACUAGCCACCUGAAGAAUAUCAAUCAAUCUGAAUGCUGCGAUUUUGUUCCUGGAUGGCUGCAGCACAGUAUGUGCAGGUUUUUUGAUUCUUCUCUACCCUGGUACUAAACACAUCUAAUUCCACUGUCAUUGGUUGAGACCAGAAUUGGAUUAAUCAUGUGUUAGAACAUACAGCCCUCUGAGACCCAAGUUGGUCAACCCUGUUAUUGUAAUCAACUCAACGUGAAGACCGUUCAGACUUCAGCUUUAUGUUGUGUUGUAGUUUCUCCCAUGAAGAAUCAGAUCUAGGACAGGGACGUAGUACAAGAAGCAGGGUACACUAGCUGUAAGGUGAAUAUUAAAGCUCUUCAGUACUAGAAGCAGGGUACACUAGCUGUAAGGUGAAUAUUAAAGCUCUUCAGUACCAGAAGCAGGGUACACUAGCUGUAGGGUGAAUAUUAAAGCUCUUCAGUACCAGAAGCAGGGUACACUAGCUGUAGGGUGAAUAUUAAAGCUCUUCAGUACUAGAAGCAGGGUACACUAGCUGUAAGGUGAAUAUUAAAGCUCUUCAGUACUAGAAGCAGGGUACACUAGCUGUAGGGUGAAUAUUAAAGCUCUUCAGUACUAGAAGCAGGGUACACCAGCUGUAAGGUGAAUAUUAAAGCUCUUCAGUACUAGAAGCAGGGUACACUAGCUGUAGGGUGAAUAUUAAAGCUCUUCAGUACCA
rnacentral:lncRNA from 1 species